GGGGAAUUAGCUCAAAUGGUAGAGCGCUUGCUUAGCAUGCGAGAGUAGUGUGGGAUCGAUGCCCACAUUCUCCA
rnacentral:tRNA from 1 species